AAAAAAUAAAUAAAUAAAUCCAGAGGCAGGACGGGUGAGACGAGAGCGCAUUUGAGUGUAAUUUCACACGACAGGCCGCCCUGCGCACGACUUUGUGUGAUGAUAACAGGAGCUGACCCCAAACAGGAAGCCGGUAUGGAGAGUCUUAACACAGGAAACUGGUGAAACAGAGGUGUGUGUGUGUGUGCGUGCGUGUGUUUCUGAUAGUUGCGUGGCGAGUGUCAGUCGCACUCACGCAUCAAACCGCGGGCCCCUCUGGUUGCAGAAUGUGCUCGGAAAUUGCACGGACAUAUGCAAACAUGAAGAAUCCGUCGGAUUCGUGCACUUGUGGGAACCACCUGCCAACGAGUGACACUGGUCAGCGUGGUCGUACGUGUUGAAACCAGCUGUUCAGCUGACAGGGGUGAGAGGAUUUGUAUGGCGUGGCGAAGUUGGUAGAGUGGCUGUGCCAGCAAUCUGAGGGGUACUGGUUCAAUCCCCACCUUCUACCAUCCUAGUCACGUCCGUUGUGUCCUUGGGCAUCAAUACAGCAGAGGAGCCAGGCAUGGUGGGGUCUGGCAGCGUUCCAGGCAUGGAGGCUGGCAGAGGCUGUCUCUGUCUGUUUCGUAGGUGCAACAGUGAGGACAGAGAGCCAGGGACAGGCCUAUGAGGACACACAAAGUAAUUGUCAAGGAAUUCAAUGAAUAAAUACAUUGUAACAUCAUGAAGACUGAGAUUUAGUAGAUGUCUGCAGCAAAAGAAAUCCACAGUGAUU